UACGUAGGGGGCAAGCGUUGUCCGGAUUUAUUGGGCGUAAAGCGCGUGUAGGCGGCUGGGUAGGUCCGCUGUGAAAACUUGAGGCUCAACCUCAAGAGGUCGGUGGAAACCAUCCAGCUAGAGUCCGGAAGAGGAGAAUGGAAUUCCUGGUGUAGCGGUGAAAUGCGCAGAUAUCAGGAAGAACACCCGUGGCGAAGGCGGUUCUCUGGGACGGUACUGACGCUGAGACGCGAAAGCGUGGGGAGCGAACAGG
rnacentral:rRNA from 1 species